ensembl:lncRNA
AAGCUAAUAAUAACUAAUUUAUCGAAUGCAUCACACUGAUCUAUAACAGAGAACUUGCAAAUAGAUCAGUGAUGCAUCAUCUUUCAGGUGGCGUAUGGAGCCCCAAAAUGACAAUUAUGAGGCGCAUGCAAACUUUGCCUUAUUGUUACGUUAAAAAGUAUACGUGAUUAAAUCGAUUCAUUUCUAAAUUAAGAUAAUCGCCUGAUAACCGCAUUUCGCUUCAGAUAGCCUCAUCUAAACGAAUGUGAUUGGCCCAUCCUUAUCAGCGCAGAGAAAAGUAACGAGCACCUCGUGAUGUAUGUGCAGCUUCACUAUCGGUUUGUAGAAAUGUGUGAACCCAGCUAAAUCAUAUAACUACGAAACGUUAAAGGCAAAUUAAUUGAAAAUACACAUUUUUAAUAUUCAAAUAAAAAAAUAAGCUAUUUCGACUCAUCGUACCUGACCAAUCAUAUAAAACGCCAGGGCCGCAAGUUCCGCCCUUUCAGACACUCGAGCCAUAAAAAUGUCCAUUCUACCGACUUUAUUCAAUUUCUAUGGCAGGUAGUUCAAUGCGGAUUCAUAGAACAUCGAUACGUUUCGUGGCUUCUCGUCGUUUGGCAGAUUUGACCACGCCUUUUAUUUACAUCUGAUGGGGCUGUGUGAAUGCAAUGAAUACCAUGGAGAGGAGCACCACUGCAAUGAGAGUCAUUAAUUGAUGAAUAAACCAAUAAAUGCAGUAUUAAUCAUAUGAAUCCGUGCCACUGCUGGGAUUAUUAAUUUACGGUGAUAAUGGCAGCUGUGAGUCUGACGGAUCCACUUUGCAAGCCUUGCUCUUACAGCCCACAUUUCAAAGUUGAGGUGUGCGUGAGGAAGCCCUUGAUGCCCAUCCACCUGAGCAGGGAGCAGGUGGCACUGGAGAUGCUGUGUCUUUGCAGCCAGAUGGACCUCCUGAUCAGAGCUCAGGUGCAUCAGCAGUUUCAGGAGCAGCUCAAACAGGACACAAGUCCUGAAGAGUCUGAGAGUUUUCAAAAACAAGGGGCAGAGAUAAUAUAUCAGAUGAACCAGUGCCUUGAACAUCUCAAUGAACCGGUGCUUCAGCUUGAGGAGUAUUUGGAUGUUGUAGGAUUAUCUACUCUGUUCCCUCGAGUGGAAGUUUAUAUGAUACAUGGAAGCCCUGUUGACAUGUUGGAAAGACCACCUUCAGAUGUUUAUUUUCCUCAUAUUGGGAGGCUGAAUCAGCUGCUGGUUCUCAGUCAGCAGUUAGAUGAAGAUGUGAAGCAUCUGGGCAGUCAUAAGUACGUCGCACAUCAGCUAUCAGCAAUUUACCAAGUCCUAAACUCUCUCAAAGAUAUUGUGCCAUUAUCCGUCAUAAGAAAGGAUAUUGAGGCUAAUUUCAAGCAGCUGAAGAAGUCUCUUUCAAUAGAGGAGGGGUCCAAGCUGGAUCCUCAGUUGCCAGCACAUCGCGUGAGCUGGUGAGAGUGGUUUUAGUUCCAUUUGUUAGAAUUAGCCAAAAGUUGUUAGAAUCCAGGAUAAUU